rnacentral:rRNA from 1 species
AUGUCGUGGAGCUGCAAUGGAACACCGCCGGUGAUCAUCGAUGCUAUGAUGGAGCAUGGUUUGCCUGCCCGGUGCUGUGGUGGAGCUGCAAUGGAACAUCGCCGGUGGUCAUCGAUGCUGCGAUGGAGCAUGGCUUGGCCGCUCGGUGCCGUGGAGCUGCAAUGGAACAUCGCCGGGGGUCGUCACUGCUGCAAUGGAGCCGCUGGGCCGUUGACAAUGUCACGAGUGCUACAUAGUAGCGGUGGCGAGGGCUAUGUUGCAACACUGGUGGUCAUCGAUGUUGUGAUGGAGCAUGGCUUGGUUGCCCGGUGA